CAAUUCCAGCUCCAAUAGCGUAUAUUAAAGUUGUUGCAGUUAAAAAGCUCGUAGUUGAACUUCGGGGUUCACCCAUUGGUCAGGCUUAAUUGUCUGUACUGGUGAGAUGAGUCUCUACCUUCUGAGGAACUUUCAUGCCAUUUAUUUGGUGUGAUUGGAAAUCAGGACUGUUACUUUGAAAAAAUUAGAGUGUUUAAAGCAGGCUAACGUCUGAAUACAUUAGCAUGGAAUAAUGAAAUAGGACGGAUUGAUUCUAUUUCGUUGGUUUCUAGGGUCACCGUAAUGAUUAAUAGGGAUAGUUGGGGGCAUUAGUAUUCAAUUGUCAGAGGUGAAAUUCUUGGAUUUAUUGAAGACUAACUACUGCGAAAGCAUUUGCCAAGGAUGUUUUCAUUAAUCAAGAACGAAAGUUAGGGGAUCGAAGACGAUCAGAUACCGUCGUAGUCUUAACCAUAAACUAUGCCGACUAGGGAUCGGACGCAGUUAAUUUUAUAAUGACGUGUUCGGCGCCUUCCGAAA
rnacentral:rRNA from 1 species